GGCUGGUCAGACUUCAGUGGUGUUUACAACUAAUUGAAUACAAACGGUUACAGAUUCCUCUGUUCCCACUCCGCUCCCACUGCUUCACUUGACUAGCAAAA
ensembl:misc_RNA Y_RNA Y RNA